rnacentral:lncRNA from 1 species
UUUUAGGUUCGAGUGUCAAUUCUCAGGUGCUUUUUCACUAAUGGUAUGUUAUAGGUACUUUUCCAAUUGUGUUGUGUCUAGUAGACUUUUUGUGAGGUUAGAAUUGCAUCCUGCAAAUGCUGGGUGAAGUUGAGUGUGGUGUUGGGCUUGAGUGCCAAUUUGACGCACUAUACUUUCAUUGGUUAUUAAUUAGAAUUUGUUUCCUUGGAUGAAUUCUCUGCUUUUGGAUAUUUCAUUCUAGUGGCAGGGCUUCCUAACAUCAACUUAUCCAUGAUCCUGUGGGGUGAUACUUCUAAAUGCUUGUGAGCGGAUGCACAUGCAACUAAAUAAGUGACCUGUACUUCCAAAAUGUAAUUUUCCUCCUCCAGUCGAAUUAUGUCAAACAAAGAUGAGUGUCUGGGCUGGUGCACUCUAUGUUGUACCCGUUAAGUCACUUUUCGCUUGGUAAUUCACGGAGGUGUCUUGCUUUAACAAUGUUUGAGCUGAAUUAUUGAGGCUUUGUGAGUGUGAGAAAGCACGGGAGAAAUAUAAUAAUUGAUAUUAAACAUGAUUCAAUGAGCCCUAUAUAUACACAUAACCUAUCCUACUCCUAAUACAUAUUAGAUUAGGGUUAUUUUACUAUUAUUUACAUAUUCUAACACUCUCCCUCAAGCUGGUGCAUAUAAAUCAUAUGUACCGAGCUUGUUACAUAUGUAGUUAAUACGAGGACCAGUGAGGGACUUGGUGCGUGAUUUUUCUUUUAAAUACUACAUAAAUCUCUAAAAAAUAAAAAAAAUUGGAUUAACAUCUAGUAUCACCAAAUAAAGAUAAAAUACCUUUUUUUGGAUCAACAUCUAGUAUCACCAAACAAAGUAAUAUCUAGUUAUUACCUAAUAAGUUAAAUUCAAAUUGCAUUUAAUAUAUGUAGGAUUAUUUUCUGGCAAAACAAGAUUAGAUCAAAUUUGAUACCGGUAAUAAAAUUCCCAAAAACAAAAAAGUUUCUUAUCUUUCUUUCUUCCAAUGUUUAGAAAAGCGAUCGCUUCGUUGCUUAAAGCGUGAAGCGAUGCGAAGCGACCCAGGCUCGCUUUUUUCUGACUGAGGCGACUCGAUGAAAAGAAGCGCACGCUUUAAUGGCAGAAGCGAGGAAAGCGACGAAGCGAGGAAAGCGACGAAGCGUGCGAUUCUGUGUAAAAAGCGCAUAAGGGCCCUUUUUUAAAAAAAACUUUGGGUCUGUUUUUUAAUUAUACAAAAUAGGCCCUAAAUUGACAAAAAGAUUAAAAAAACUUACAGUUCUCACUUUCCCCUUCUUCGACUGUUUGAAAAAACAGAGCUAGGGUUCUGGACUUCGACUGCUGCUCGCCUCUUUCUUCAAUUUCAUUUCUUCUCUCCUUUGUGCUUUCUUUCUUCUUCUUCUUCUUUUUUUUUUCUUUCUUCUGCUUUCGUCUUCACUGUUCAGUUCUCAUUUUUCUCUUUUUUUUCUUUGUUCUUCUUCUUUUCUUUCUUUCUCCCAUGAGCGGAGUCCAGCCAAGUCCACAUAUAUUUGUUUUUCCUUUCUUCUUCUUUUCUUUCUUUAUCCAGUGAGUGGAGUCCAGUCAAGUCCAUAUAUAUUUGGUUUUUCUUUGUUCUUCUUCUUUUCUUUCUUUCUCCGGUGAGUGGAGUCUAGUCAAGUCCACAUAGGUUUGUUUUUUCUUUCUUCUUAAGUUUUCUUUUUUAAUAAAUUGACUAAAUUCAUAUAUAUAUAUAUAUAUAUAUAUAUAUAUAUAUAUAUAUAUAUUAUAUUUUUAGUGUAUGUGAUUUUUAAAUGUAUAUUUCAGUUUAUAUAAUUAAUUAUUAUAUAUAUUAUAUGUAUUUUCAGUUUAUUGAUUAUAUUUUUUCUUAUAUCUGAAUAGGGAUAUAUAUAUAUUUAAUUAUUGUAUUAUUAAAUAUAUAUAAUAUAUAUUUAAUUAUUGUAUUAUUAUAUAAUUAUAUCGAUUUUAUUUCUCAGCAUAUAUAUAUAUAUAUAUAUAUUUAAUUAUUGUAUUAUUAUAUUUUCAGCAUAUAUAUAUAUAUAUAAUUAUUAUAUGCAUUUCGUUUAUUAUUUUAUUUCAGCAUAUAAAUUUAAUUAUAUAUAUACAUUAUUUUUAGUUUAUAUGAUUUUUUAUAUAUAUAGUGUUUAUAAAAUACAAUAGAGCAUUGAGGCGUAAUUUAUGUAAUUUCAGUUUAUUUUCAGUUAAUUAUUAUAAUUUAUGUAUUUUCAGUUAAUUAUUACUAUAAUUUAUAUAAUUUCAGUUUAUUUUCAGUUAAUUAUUACUAUAAUUUAUAUAAUUUUAGUGUAUUUUCAGUUUAUUAAUUAUUUUUUCUCUUAUAUUUUAAUAGGGAUAAUUAAAUGUCUCAAAGUUCGAAAGAGAAAGACCGGCUUGGCGAUAUGGCCAAAGAAUUAAUGAGAAGAAUACAAAUGUCUAUGAUUAUUUAUAAUUUUACAUUACGUUUUUAAGAAUUGCGCUUCACUUCAAAAAAGAGUGCGCUUCUUUGCGCUUUGCGCUUUGAAGCGAGGCGAGCCCUUGUCGCUUUUUUGCGCUUUGCGCUCUCCAAAACACUGAUCACACACAAGUCCAUCUGACUAACAUCACCAAAUUUCAGCUCUUUGAGCAACUGUUUGAUCCAAGCUAGCUUACAUGUCGCCAUAGCCAUUGCUCGAUAUUCUGCUUCUUGGGGACCUUAUGGUCGGAUUUUUCUUGGGGACCUUAUGGUGGUGGUGUUGGAUUUUGCACAACACUGAUAAAUAAUGACUUUGAUGUAAACAGUCACUUAAGUCACCGGAAAAUUGCACGGUGACGAUUGAUUUCUUCCCGGAUGUCGUUGGAAUGACGCACAACGAUAAGUUAUCACACUAAUGCUUCGAUACCAUGUGAAAAAAUACGGGAGAAAUAUAAUAAUUGAUAUUAAACAUGAUACAAUGAGCCUAUAUAUACACAUAACCUGUCCUACUCC